UGUGCAUGUGUGCGCGCGUAUUCCAUAAUGGAAGACGCCACUUUUCUUGAAAUUGACGACUCUAUUAGGACUAAAAAUUUAUUAUUAUUUGAUAGAGAUAGGGAUACUUUAAAUCAGCAGAUGGACGAAUUUAUGAAACAAUUGGACACACCAUCUAUUCUUGUACAACCUAUUCCUGGCGUCUGCGUGAAAACCAAAACAGUUAAUGGAGAUAAAGUUUUUGUUAACAUAUGCACAUCCGAUAAAAUCCCACCACCAGAGGAUAUAUCUGAUACUAAGCUAUUUCAACUUAUAAAUGAUGAAGUACCUGCUUACACUAUACCAAUGAGUAUUGGUUCGGAAAGGAUGGAAGUGGAUAAAUCUGGGAAACCUAGUGCAACGUAUGAUGUCAUGAUAAAUACAAUAUAUUUUAAAAAAUGUCAAGAAAAGAAACAUUUCAUGGCAUUUACAACAUUAGUCAUAUUAAGUGGUGUGGCAGAUAAGUUUAACAAAGAGAUUGAUUCAGAAAAUUACGUUAUUCUUAAAAAUCGUCUAGUAAUGGGAAAACUUCAGCAACAUAGAAUAGAAAAUCGUAAGCCCAAAAAGCCACAAAGUCGCAAAUCAUUGAUUGAAGAAGUUUCACAUUCCACGAAGCCCAUCGAUAAGAUGGGAUCUGAUCUACAAGCUGGUGACAUAACAAAAACGGGUUAUGUAAUUUUAAGAGAACCAGCGAAAGGUUUCAAUCGAAGAUAUAGUAGUGUUGAUCAACUCAGAUCGCAUAAAUGUCACAGAUGAGAAAGCUUGUUAUUCAUAUGACGUUUUACUUCCCUAUAUACUCAAAGCAGAUAAUGCAAGAGCUUUUCUGGAUUACAAUAUUGGAGUGUUACGAAUAGAUAUAAUAAUAAAAUAAAUGCUAUCUUAGAAACGUAUAUUUGGUUUAAAAUAUAUCUGAAAAAGUAAAAAUAAAUAAUCUUGUUUAGAAUUAUAAAAAUUCAAUAAACAAAUAAGAUAUAAAAUA
rnacentral:misc_RNA from 1 species